rnacentral:rRNA from 1 species
UCUCCGUUGGUGAACCAGCGGAGGGAUCAUUACCGAGUUUACAACUCCCAAACCCAAUGUGAACGCUACCAAACCGUUGCCUCGGCGGGGUCUCUGCCCCGGGCGCCUCGCGGCCCCGGACCCAGGGCGCCCCGCCGGAGGAAGAAACAACCAAAACUCCUUUUUCCCAUGCCCCUCGCAUCGCCCCCUCGCGGGCCGCGUCGGGCUCUCUCUCUGAGCAAAACUUCUCGGCGCCCCUCACCGGGCGCCUCGAAAAUGAAUCAAAACUUUCAACAACGGAUCUCUUGGUUCUGGCAUCGAUGAAGAACGCAGCGAAAUGCGAUAAGUAAUGUGAAUUGCAGAAUUCAGUGAAUCAUCGAAUCUUUGAACGCACAUUGCGCCCGCCAGUAUUCUGGCGGGCAUGCCUGUCCGAGCGUCAUUUCAACCCUCGAGCCCCUCCGGGGGGUCGGCGUUGGGGAUCGGCCUCCUCCCUCCGCGGGCGGGGGGCCGGCCCCGAAAUUCAGUGGCGGUCUCGCCGCAGCCUCUCCUGCGCAGUAGUUUGCACACUCGCACCGGGAGCGCGGCGCGUCCAAUGCCGUAAAACAACCCAAACCUUCUGGAAUGUUGACCUCGGAUCAGGUAGGAAUACCCGCUGAACUUAA